rnacentral:rRNA from 1 species
UGGGGAAUAUUGCGCAAUGGGGGGAAACCCUGACGCAGCAACGCCGCGUGAUCGAAGAAGGUCUUCGGAUUGUAAAGAUCUUUUAUCAGGGACGAAGAAAGUGACGGUACCUGAUGAAUAAGCUCCGGCUAACUACGUGCCAGCAGCCGCGGUAAUACGUAGGGAGCGAGCGUUAUCCGGAUUUAUUGGGUUUAAAGGGUGCGCAGGCGGCGCGCCAAGUCAGCGGUCAAAGUUCCGGGCUCAACCCGGUGUCGCCGUUGAAACUGGCGUGCUCGAGUGCGUGCGAGGAAGGCGGAAUGCGUUGUGUAGCGGUGAAAUGCAUAGAUAUGACGCAGAACUCCGAUUGCGAAGGCAGCUUUCCAGCGCGCUACUGACGCUGAGGCACGAAAGCGUGGGGAUCGAACAGGAUUAGAUACCCUGGUAGU